CUGGAAUAUGACUUUUUGUCCGAGUUCGUCUGGACCAGCGCCAGCUUUUGGACAUGUGAACUAAACCUGCAAGCAAAAGUAGCUAAUUGGAUACUAGUAAUGGACAUUAUGGAACAAAACAACAAUUUAUUCCGGAACUAGGAUUCCUUGCGCUGCAUUCUGAUGAAAGAUCAUCAAAGGACAGAACAUGGAAACAAUGCAAUUGGGAUCAAGAAGAAGAUUUCAACGCUCUUCACUGCACAUCGGCGGAAGCCCAUUUCACCAUGAGAGUGAAAUCCCGCUGGCCUUUGAUGGGGAGAACAUCCACACCCUCGAGGACGUCCCCAUGGGACUCGGGCUCUGCUAGGGCUGAAUCUCCACUAGGAUUCUCUGCCUCUAACCCUAUUACAGGGGCUGAGUCACUGGCUUACUGAUGCUUUUUCAUGCCGUCCCUA